GCUGGCAGCUAGCUCUCUGCAACUCUCACAUGGUCGCCCACUGAAGCUAAGCAGGGCUGCGCCCGAUCAGAACCUGGAUGGGAGACUACAUGGAAAACCUAGGUUGCUGCCGGAA
rnacentral:rRNA from 1 species